rnacentral:rRNA from 1 species
UGGGGAAUCUUAGACAAUGGGGGAAACCCUGAUCUAGCCAUGCCGCGUGUGUGACGAAGGCCCUAGGGUCGUAAAGCACUUCUGAACGAGGGACGAAAGAUGACGGUACCUCGCUAAAAGCACCGGCUAACUCCGUGCCGGCAGCCGCGGUAAUACGGAGGGUGCAAGCGUUAUCCGGAAUCACUGGGCGUAAAGGGCACGUAGGCGGUCUAGUAAGUCCGAUGUUAAAGCGUGGGGCUCAACCCCAUCACGGCGUUGGAUACUGCUAGGCUUGACGACUGGAGAGGUGAGUAGAAUUACCAGUGUAGCGGUGGAAUGCGUAGAUACUGGUAGGAAUACCUAUUGCGAAGGCAGCUCACUGGACAGUACGUGACGCUGAGGUGCGAAAGUGUGGGGAGCAAACCGGAUUAGAUACCCCCGUAGUCC